rnacentral:lncRNA from 1 species
UAGACUGCACCGGCGGUCGUGCUGAUAACUAAGGAUCCUAGGUUGUUAGACGGCUAAGAUUUUAGCUCUCUAGAUGUUGCAGGUUGCAGCGUUGCUUCGCUUAGGAAAAGCGUAGUUGAACUGUUCCGUGAACAAUUUCCAAAUUUGACUUUAAGUCAGGGUAGUUAAACACCAAACUUGGAUUUUUACCAUUAACCGGUGGUUAAUUUCUCAUAUUGGUUAUUCAAUGUGUAGCGUAUGAUCCACCAUUAAGUAACUAAAAAAUACAGAUGGAACGUCACGUUAGCUACCGGCAAAUGCUCCCCCGCUUUCAUUUCAAAUUUGAAUUCAAUUACUAAAUGUUUUUAAAUCCUAACUUAUUGUACCAAGUAAAAUCAUUUUAAUUAAAAUGCAAAAAUUCAUAAAGGUUUAAAUUUUUUAUGUCAUUAUCCAAAAAUAUAUUAAAUGUCAAGAAAUACAUGAUAAUAGUUACUUGACAAAAUGAGAGAAGCACCACGGUACUUCUCCAUUUCGGUUAGUUAAAUAACUUUAUAGGGGUGUUAGAGUUAGUGGUAUUAGAGCUAACGUUUAGGCUUUUCUAGGUGUUAAGGAGAAGAAACAAGCCUUAUAAAUUAAGGUCUGGAUAUAACUCUACUAUAGGCUUUUGUAAGUUGGCUAAGAAUGUUAUUUGACAUUCAACACGUGUUAGAAGAUAGAGGUGAUAAUCUAAAGUCGUGAUCGCGAUAAUCUAUCCAAUGCUACAAAUGUUUGUAUUGUAAGCUGCAGAUUACAUUAUGGACAUUGGAGCAUUGAGUGGAAAUUGUGUGCAUCACUUUUAAGAAUCUGCUAGGAUAUAAUAGAUGCCUUAUAUCUGAUGCAGUUGUACCAUGACAGGUUUCUAACUGCUAUGAAUUGACUUCAAAUAAAAGUUUAUAUCCUUUUAGAAUAAAAUACUAGAGAUAUUAGCAAUAAGGUAUAGAAAAAUUCUAUGAGAGCUACAAUGUACUCAAAAAACAUAAUUGUUUUUGUGUUGUUUAUCAUUAAAAAGAGGAAUUUUAUAAAUAUUAUGACAUAAGAGAAAUGAAAAAACGGAGAGGUAUGAGUAGGUGAAAUAGGCUAGAACAUGUUAGUGACCAAUUUUCUUGUUCACUUUUUACUGUGAUGAUUGUUUGAUAUCAAAACAUAGUCUUAUCCUUUGAGAGAAAUAAAUUUGAAUUAUCAUAAUAAUAUAUUCAAGAGUUUUAAAGAAAGUUUAAUUAUCUAAACAUUAUGUAAGAGGGGAUUGAAGAUACAAGGAGAAUACGCACAUAAAAUAAGUGAUAGUUAUGAGAUGGUAGGUGUGAUUAAGGGGUUAAUUUAUCUCAUUAAUGACAUAUUAGUUACUCUAGCUAGGAAAAAAAUAAGAAAGAUUGUAGAGUCUAUCCAACUUUUAAGAACAUGACAUAGCUACUGUAUGAUUUCGUAAUGUACUUUUUGAUAAAUAUUUCGAUUCAUCAUUUGGAAGUGGAUAGGGUUGCCUUUAAGAUUAUAUUGAAGGUCUAUGUUGGAAAACCGAAGUAAUCACUGCAAAAGUUUAUUCUGUUUCCCUUUUUAGAAGCAUUAUUACAUUUGAUAAGAUUAGAUAAAUUAUUUUGGCGGAAUUGAUAUUAUUUGAGAUAAUAUUGUUGUUUAUUGGAAGUUUACUUUUUAUCUAUAUUGGUGAUAUAGUUAGAUUUUAAACACUUUAAUCGGUAUAAGUAAUUAUUAUUGAUAGGUUAUAUUGAUACCUGUUUAUAUAUAAAUGUGUAUAUAUAUAUAUAUGUUUUGAAUAUUGGUAUUUAGUUUCUUAAAUGGAUUGUGCAAAGUUAGCUAUAAAACUAUAAUUAUUUAUGUUUCCUUAGUUAUUUCCUGGAUUCUCGAUAUAACCCUUAUUCCUCCAAUAGAUUAUUGAACAAAUGAAUAAGAUUAUUUUUGUAUAGCAUAGCGUGAUAUUGUGGUUGAUUAUUAGCAAGAAUAAAUUAUAUUAGUAUAAACUUUAUGUUAUUAUCUAUUGUUAAGAGCUACGUGGACCUGAUCCUCUAUUGGAGGUACGUAGGCAGCCUUCGGGUGCGGUCGAAAUAUAAUAUAUAUUAAGACUUUAAUUAGCAAAUAGUAGCGAUGUAAAUUCAAGCCAUAUUAACAGAUUUUCAUGUUGAAUAAAUUACUUAUUGGAAAUUUAAUGAGUUUAAUAUGACUAAAAUAAUUAACAUACAAAUAAUUAUAUUUAUAAGAUUAUAGAUAAAAAUAAGCCACAAAAGAAAUCACUGAAUUAGCUAAGAUAUAGGAGAACAAUUUUGAUAAAGAGACCAUGAGUGAAUUAGACCAUUAAUAUUGCCAAAACCUGACUAUAACAUAGGAUAGAAGUAUACAGAAGUACCUAAAAUGAAUAACUUGGAAAGCUUGUCAAAGGAAUGAAAAUUGACAUGCGAAUAGGUGCAAUUUGUGAUAAAAAACAGCAAUUGAAAGGCAGUGUCACAGUCUAGAUACAAAACGUAAGUUGGCAAUUGAAAGGCAGUGUCGUAGUUCAGUUAUAAGGCAUAGACGAAGUGUCGCACCUAUCCCAAAUCCUCAUUCACUAGCAGACUAAAUGAAAUUAUUUCUUGAAAAAAUAAAGAAUAAUGGCAUAAAAAUCGAAAAUUUUAUUUCUUGGCACAAUAAAUUAGGAUUUAAAAAUAUUUGGCAAUUCUUUCCAAAUUUAAAUUGAAAGUGGGGGAGCAUUUGUCGGUAGCAGGCCAUAUUGUAUUUUUAUAUUACUCGAUGCUGGACUCUACGCUACACCUUGGAUAACCAAGGCGAGGUAUUAAUCGUUGGUUAAUUAAGGUAAAAUUCUUAAAUGGUGUAGAAAAACCUAAAACGCUCUCAUCGACGCCGUCGCUCGCUGCCGAAUUUAUUUUCCCCACUUCAUCCUUCGCACAAAAAGUUGGCCUUCUCGCUUUGCCACCAUUUUGGCCUCAGAAAAGGAGAUAUUGCCUUCGUGCUUUCUCCUAACUCUAUUCACCUUUCGGUCCUUUAUUUCUAUAUCUUCUCUCUCGGUGUCGUUACCUCUCCUAAAAAAUUAAUUAUCUUUAAACUUGUGAUUCUCCACCAAAUUCAGCUGUCGAAACCUGUACUUGUGUUCGUCACGUCGAAUGCUGCUCAUACAAUUCCUAAUCUCAAAACAUUCGUACUCGACUCUCCCGAGUUUGAAUCGCUGAUGAUGAGUCUAGCUCACUGUGGAGAAAUAGGAGGGAAGGUUUACCAAUUGGACCCUGGGACAAUUCUCUAUCCUCACGGACUACUGGUCGAGUUAAUGGAGUGGUUUUGGCUCAUCGAAAUUUCAGAUGCAUGGUGGCCCUAAGUCAUGCGGUUUACACGAGGUAGAUGGCAACUGCAACUUUCUUUUUUUCGUUGCCUUAUGUUCAUGUUCAUGGUUUAUGUUAUUUCGUGAGAGCUUUAACUAUGGGAGUGGCGGUGGUGCCCUAAGACAAUGCUGACAGUAAUUCAGGAGUGUAAGAUAGACUGCACCGGCGGUGGUGCUGAUAACUAAGGAUCCUAGGUUGUUAGACGGCUAAGAUUUUAGCUCUCUAGAUGUUGCAGGUUGCAGCGUUGCUUCGCUUAGAAAAAGCGUAGUUGAACUAUUCCGUGAGCAAUUUUGAAAUUUGACUUUAAGUCAGGUUAGUUAAUCACCAAAGUUAGAUUUUUACUAUUAACCGAUGGUUAAUUUCUCAUAUUGGUUAUUCAAUGUGUAGCGUAUGAUCCACCAUUAAGUAAUAAAAAAAUGCAGAUGGAACUUCACGUUAGCUACUGGCAAAUGCUCCCCCACUUUCAUUUCAAAUUUGAAUUGAAUCGCUAAAUGUUUUUAAAUCCUAACUUAUUGUACCAAGUAAAAUCAUA